AUCGCUUCUCGGCCUUUUGGCUAAGAUCAAGUGUAAUAUAAGUAUUAUAUAUAAUUUAUAUAUAAUGUAUGCAUAUGUAUAGAUAAAACACUA
ensembl:snRNA LOC120096082 U2 spliceosomal RNA